GAUGAACGCUAGCGAUAGGCCUAACACAUGCAAGUCGAGGGGCAUCACAUGAAGUAGCAAUACGGAUGGUGGCGACCGGCGCACGGGUGAGUAACACGUAUGCAACCUGCCUUCAACAAGGGGAUAACCCGUUGAAAGACGGACUAAUACCCUAUAACACAGGGGUCCCGCAUGGGAAUAUUUGUUAAAGGACAACCGGUUGAAGAUGGGCAUGCGUUCCAUUAGCUAGUUGGCGGGGUAACGGCCCACCAAGGCAACGAUGGAUAGGGGAACUGAGAGGUUUAUCCCCCACACUGGUACUGAGACACGGACCAGACUCCUACGGGAGGCAGCAGUGAGGAAUAUUGGUCAAUGGACGCAAGUCUGAACCAGCCACGUCGCGUGAAGGAAGACGGGCCCUACGGGUUGUAAACUUCUUUUAUACGGGGAAUAAAGUGCCCCACGCGUGGGGUUUUGCAUGUACCGUAUGAAUAAGGAUCGGCUAACUCCGUGCCAGCAGCC
rnacentral:rRNA from 1 species